rnacentral:rRNA from 1 species
AGUCUGGCAGGAGACCCACACGGCGCAAGUCCGGGGCUUUCCCUAUUGUUGGGCGAGUACCUUGAGUAUACAUGUCGUUACCCGAAAGAUGGUGAUCUAUACUGAGCCAGGGUGAAGUCCUUGAAAACAAGGAUGGAGGCUCGAAGCUGUUCUGACGUGCAAAUCGAUAGUCAGAGCUGAGUAUAGGGGCGAAAGACCAAUCGAACCAUCUAGUAGCUGGUUCCUUCCGAAAUGUCCCCCAGGACAGGGUGAUGGUUGAUUAUCUUUUGAGACCAAGGUAGUGGCUGCCAUAGUGUGGUAGUGACUGUCGUUUCCCUUAGUGAGGGAGAAUAGUGAUGCCUGGUCUUGAAGUCACAAAGGAAUGUUAAGUAAAGUGACUGAUUAGAUGCACUGGAGAUGCAAUAUCUUCAACAUAUUCUCAAACUUUGAAUAUUACAUGAAUAUGUGCUUGUUUGUACUAAGCAUAUUAGAAUCUUUAUACCAUCGUCUGGGUCAUAAUUCUGGUAAGCAGAACUGACAAUGAGGGGUAAACCUAACGUCCAGUUAAGGUGCCUAAUUGUAUCCGAGUUGAGUGGGCCUGUUACUAAAGAUGGUUGGGACCGGUGACCCCUGGAAAGUAGUAUUCCGCUUAAGGAGUGUGUAACCAACCUC